rnacentral:rRNA from 1 species
AUUGAACGCUGGCGGCAGGCUUAACACAUGCAAGUCGAGCGAGCGGCGGACGGGUGAGUAAUGUCUGGGAAACUGCCUGAUGGAGGGGGAUAACUACUGGAAACGGUAGCUAAUACCGCAUACCCUCAGAUGUGCCCAGAUGGGAUUAGCUUGUUGGUGGGGUAAUGGCUCACCAAGGCGACGAUCCCUAGCUGGUCUGAGAGGAUGACCAGCCAACCUGGAACGGAGACACGGUCCAGCCUCCGACGGGAGGCAGCAGUGGGGAAUAUUGCACAAUGGGCGAAAGCCUGAUGCAGCCAUGCCGCGUGUGUGAAGAAGGCCUUCGGGUUGUAAAGCACUUUCAGCGAGGAGGCGUUACUCGCAGAAGAAGCACCGGCUAACUCCGUGCCAGCCGCCGCGGUAAUAC